rnacentral:misc_RNA from 1 species
AAGGCAGGAAACGCCAUUUAACAUCCGAAAUAUUGCGGUGCCCAUGGCCACAUUCUGACAAAAACAAAUCGAGGUACAUGAUACUAAGCUUCAACAAUCUAUUGAGCAUUUCUGCGCAUGAACCAUAUGCUUGAUAUAGAUGGGAUUCCAAACUGUUAAAGAUGCAGUCUACAGAGGUGCCCAUGGCCACAUUCUUUAGCAUCUCAUCAUAUCACCCAACCGUAGAACACUGCCGAUUGAUGUUUCUCUCAGCAUGCUACACCAUUUUAUAUCUUCAUGCCAAAACUUAAGUAGCAAAUAACCUUUCCCCUUUCACAAAUUUGUACGCUGCUUACUAAUCACUUCACAUUUAAGUUUCUUACUGAAACUAGAUAGUUAAGGAGGUUGCUUCUAAUGCCACCAAACAGAUUAUUUAGGAGC